AAUCAACGCUGGCGGCGUGCCUAACACAUGCAAGUCGAACGCGAAAGUCCCGCAAGGGAUGAGUAGAGUGGCAAACGGGUGAGUAACACGUGGGUGACCUGCCUUCGAGCGGGGGAUAACGUCCCGAAAGGGACGCUAAUACCGCAUGACAUCCUGCCUUUGAAGAGGUGGAGAUCAAAGCUGGGGAUCGCAAGACCUAGCACUUGAAGAGGGCCCGCGUCUGAUUAGCUAGUUGGUGGGGUAACGGCUCACCAAGGCAACGAUCAGUAUCCGGCCUGAGAGGGCGGACGGACACACUGGGACUGAGACACGGCCCAGACUCCUACGGGAGGCAGCAGUGGGAAUUGUUCGCAAUGGGC
rnacentral:rRNA from 1 species